ensembl:lncRNA COL18A1-AS2 COL18A1 antisense RNA 2
ACUUCCCCUGCAGCCUCCACAUUUCAUCUGACUCAGCGCAUCCGUGAUCAAAAGCUCCUCCUGACAGCCCUUCUGCAGAGGCCCAAACUCGCCAUCUAAAACGUUACCGCCAGGGCCGCAAUCAGGAGCUGCUCCCAGGGCGGUGGUGCUGUUGAUCAUACCACAGGAUCCCCUGGCACUCCCGGGGCCCAAAGAACCCAGCCCCCAGCCUUUUCAACAAUCCAGGAAAACAGGAGUGCCCUGAAAAACAAGUUUUGCUGAAAUUCAAAACUAUCUUCCAAAGUCCUUGCAUCUGAAUCCUGAAGACUCCCCAGUGGCUCCACUCUGACUCUGAAGCACUGACUACAAGCACCUCUUGGGGGUCACGGCUGUUUCGCACACACAAAUCCACCAGAGGAGAGAUUGCAGGUAAGACUGCGGCACCUCACACAGCUGGGUGGCAACCAAGCGGCCAAGUGACCACUGAGCCCAGGUUCCUGAUUACAGGGAAAGGCACAAACACCAUUCAAGAACCUCAGCAUCACAGCGACCAAUCCUGACACAAAAAAGCAA